UACGUAGGUGGCAAGCGUUGUCCGGAAUUACUGGGCGUAAAGGGCGUGUAGGUGGUCUAACAAGUCAGGUGUGAAACUCUGGGGCUCAACUCCAGGCAUGCAUUUGAAACUGUUGGACUUGAGGGCAAGAGAGGAAAGUGGAAUUCCUAGUGUAGCGGUGAAAUGCGUAGAUAUUAGGAGGAACACCAGUGGCGAAGGCGACUUUCUGGAUUGACCCUGACACUGAGGCGCGAAAGCGUGGGGAGCAAACAGG
rnacentral:rRNA from 1 species